rnacentral:rRNA from 1 species
GACGAACGCUGGCGGCGUGCCUAAUACAUGCAAGUAGAACGCUGAAGGGGGAGCUUGCUUCUCUGGAUGAUUUGCGAACGGGUGAGUAACGCGUAGGUAACCUGCCUGGUAGCGGGGGAUAACUCUUGGAAACGAUAGCUAAUAUCGCAUAACAGUAGAUAUCGCAUGAUAUUUACUUGAAAGGUGCAAUUUUAUCAUUACCAAAUGGACCUGCGUUGUAUUAGCUAGUUGGUGAGGUAACGGCUCACCAAGGCAACGAUACAUAGCCGACCUGAGAGGGUGAUCGGCCACACUGGAACUGAGACACGGCCCAGACUCCUACGGGAGGCAGCAGUAGGGAAUCUUCGGCAAUGGGCGAAAGCCUGACGGAGCAACGCCGUGUGAGUGAAGAAGGUCUUCGGAUCGUAAAACUCUGUUAUUAGGGAAGAACGAGUGUGGAAGUAAAAAUGCACGUCUUGACGGUAACUAAUCAGAAAGGCACGGCUAACUACGUG